rnacentral:rRNA from 1 species
AACAUCUAAGUACCCCGAGGAAAAGAAAUCAACCGAGAUUCCCUCAGUAGCGGCGAGCGAACGGGGAUUAGCCCUUAAGCAUCUUGGAAGUUAGUGGAACGGUCCUGGAAAGGCCGGCGAUACAGGGUGAUAGCCCCGUACACGAAAACAACCUUGAUGUGAAAUCGAGUAGGGCGGGACACGUGACAUCCUGUCUGAAUAUGGGGGGACCAUCCUCCAAGGCUAAAUACUCCUGACUGACCGAUAGUGAACCAGUACCGUGAGGGAAAGGCGAAAAGAACCCCUGUGAGGGGAGUGAAAUAGAACCUGAAACCGUGUACGUACAAGCAGUGGGAGCCCUUCGGGGUGACUGCGUACCUUUUGUAUAAUGGGUCAGCGACUUACAUUUUGUAGCGAGGUUAACCGUAUAGGGGAGCCGUAGGGAAACCGAGUCUUAACUGGGCGUCUAGUUGCAAGGUGUAGACCCGAAACCGGGUGAUCUAGCCAUGGGCAGGUUGAAGGUUGAGUAACAUCAACUGGAGGACCGAACCCACUAACGUUGCAAAGUUAGGGGAUGACCUGUGGCUGGGGGUGAAAGGCCAAUCAAACUCGGAGAUAGCUGGUUCUCCCCGAAAGCUAUUUAGGUAGCGCCUCGGACGAAUACUACUGGGGGUAGAGCACUGUUUGGGCUAGGGGGUCAUCCCGACUUACCAACCCCAUGCAAACUCCGAAUACCAGUAAGUAAUAUCCGGGAGACACACGGCGGGUGCUAACGUCCGUCGUGAAGAGGGAAACAACCCAGACCGCCGGCUAAGGUCCCAAAGUUCUGGUUAAGUGGGAAACGAUGUGGGAAGGCUCAGACAGCUAGGAUGUUGGCUUAGAAGCAGCCAUCAUUUAAAGAAAGCGUAAUAGCUCACUAGUCGAGUCGGCCUGCGCGGAAGAUGUAACGGGGCUCAAACCAGGCACCGAAGCCGCGGAUUCACGCUAAGCGUGAGUGGUAGGGGAGCGUUCUGUAAGU